rnacentral:snRNA from 2 species
GUGCUCGCUUCAGCAGCACGUAUACUAAAAUUGGAAAGAUACAGAGAAGAUUAGCAUGGCCCCUGCACCAGGAUAACACACAAAGCCAUGAAGCGUUCCGUAUGUUU